rnacentral:lncRNA from 1 species
CUCUAUCCAUUAAAGAUGACAUACUGGAUAUACAAUUCUCUUAAUUUAAUGUUGCCAUGGUUGCGUAGCCUAUUUUGCAGUCCCUGAAUUUUACAAAUUACAAACUCUAAUAUAUACACCAAUGUAUAUGAAUCCUAAUGAUUGGUGGAAAGAGAAAAGGAAAUAAAAGCCGGCCUUUUAGCUACAAUAACAUCACAGAUAUAUGUUCAAAAGGGAUAUUGGAUGUGGAAUAUUCUAUUUCAAAAUAGUGCUAUUUGCACUUAUUUACAACACAUUUAUUGAUGAAUAUGCAGUCCAUCCAUCCUCCUGAUAAGUUUCUUUCUUACUUUAUACACAAGUUACUUGCAUAAUCAAAAGUGAAUUAAAAAAAGUCUUCCACACGAAAGAUUAAAUAAGAAAUCAGAAUUCAAGUUUCAUGUCUCAAUAUCUUGUUAUCAAAAAGGUCUUACGAAAUAAAUAAUCAUAAACAAACUUAAAUAAUUUUGAAAACCUAUCAGAUGAUAAGCAAUUAUGCAUUUAUUAAUAUUUAAAGGAAAUCAUUCAAAUUUGAUAUUGUACCCGACGAGGUGCAACUGAGAUAGUUAAAAAUCUGAAGCCAUGCAUAUCUUCAGGUCCUAACCAAAAUACAGCAGAUGGAGGAGGUUGCUCGGUUUGACUGCCAGAUUCAAGCUGUAACAGUAUUGCAUAUUCAAAGUUUUGAGUAAGCAUAUAAAAUUAACUAAACUUCUUCCUCCACAGAUAAUCUGAAACAAAGAUAAUGGCCUCAGUAGUUAUAAUUUUAAUGUACUAAAAAAGCUAAUUCAAACAGGAAAUAAUAAAUAAUUUGAAAGAGGCAUUAUAUACCUGCCGUGUUGCUGGACCUAAGGGAAUACGCAUCAUCUUUGAUGUCACUUCCAUAACCCUAUCAUUGAGAGGCAAACUUGAAGCUGAUUUCCCAUUUUCAGGCCACAAAUGAAGUCUGAUUCCAGAACAUGGCUCAAGAUUGGUCACUAACACAAAAUGACUUUUUCCAUUUGAACCCUACAUAUCCAGAUUAAAAGACUAAAAACCUGCACCAUGGCAUAAUUAUCUAUGAUGUAAAACAGACACUUAAAAAUAUGAAAAUCAGGAGUUCUUGGAGCUAGCAAAAUAAUUAGAAUACG